rnacentral:rRNA from 1 species
UACGGGGGGGCAAGCGUUGUUCGGAAUUACUGGGCGUAAAGGGCUCGUAGGCGGCCAACUAAGUCAUACGUGAAAUCCCUCGGCUUAACCGGGGAACUGCGUCUGAUACUGGAUGGCUUGAGUUCGGGAGAGGGAUGCGGAAUUCCAGGUGUAGCGGUGAAAUGCGCAGAUAUCAGGAGGAACACCGGUGGCGAAGGCGGUUCUCUGGGCAUUACCUGACGCUGAGGAGCGAAAGCGUGGGGAGCGAACAGG